CGUCUCUGGCGAUCGUCUUGCCCCGACAGGGAUGCCACGUAUGGGAGGAUUCCAGGAGAGGCCGUGGCUUGCUUAAGUCAAUUAUUGAAAGUAUGCUCCAAUUGCCAGAGAGGGUGUUAGCCCCGUCCUGGCAGGUUGCGUGCCCUCGCCACGGAGUCCUCCUUUGAGUCGGGUUGCCCGAUAACGCAGCCCUAAGAAGGGUGGUAAACUCCAUCCAAGGCUAAAUACGACCACGAGACCGAUAGUGAACAAGUACCACGAGGGAAAGUUGAAAAGGACUUUGAAGAGAGAGUUCAAUANAGCGUGAAACCGUUACGAGCUUAAAAAACGGAUGGGC
rnacentral:rRNA from 1 species